GGUCCGCAGGGCGAGUAUCAGGAUGAGACAAGUAACUCUGCAGCAGGUUCGGGUCGAACGCAGUGAGACAACGGAGCCGCUUGCGGCGACGACCCGAAGGGCGAGCAAAGCGAGCCAUCCUGUACGACCCACCA
rnacentral:sRNA from 1 species